rnacentral:tRNA from 1 species
CGGCAGGCUGGCGAGGGUGCCCAGGGCGCUGUCGAUGGCCUCCAGGGCCGGUUGUUCGGCAUCGCUUUUGCCGC